rnacentral:lncRNA from 1 species
UCCACUGUUAGGCCAGCCAAGCUCCUCGGGCGGGAUCAACAGAGCAGUGAGGGCUCCCCAGUGCUUCCCGCCGGCUCUCUCCCCAUAAGAGAAGGGCUCUGGGUCAGCGCUGCUCCAGGCGGUUGGGACCUUCCAGCACUGGGGCCAGGCACAGUGCCUGCCUGGGUGACCCGUACCUCAGCCAGAGCAAGAGAAGCAAAUUUUGGGAGCAUGAUCGUUGUGAUACCCUCAGUGAUUUCUCUUUCAAUACAUUCUCUUCAGGGCUGUGAUUGUAACUGAUCAGUGAAAGAAAAAAUUUCAAAAGAAAAAGGAAACUGAAGAAAUUAAUUGUACCAGAGCAGAAUCCAGCGAAGGUAAUACAGUGAUCUUAAAUAAUUUUCCUGUUAUAAAUUAAAGUUCAUGACAAUAACAUGAAGCAGAUUAGCUUUAAUAGAAUUUCCUUCCUUUCCUUCCUACAAAUAUCAUUUUAUAGAUACGUAUAAAACCUUUGCUGUGAUUACUUUCUGUUGGGAUUAUUGCAGUUUGGGUAGCCCUUAUUGUUUCCAUGAAGCUUUAGAAUAGAUUGAAAGAUCAAAAUACAAGUUAUUCUCUUGUUAUGCCUAGUAAAUAUGUUUCACAAAUACAUGUACUGCUAUAUUUAUAUUACUAGUAUAUUUAUCGAACAAAUACAUUUACUAGUAAAUGAGUAUACUAGAUCAAGUCCUUGUGAAAUGUGGAAUGCCUCUUCUAUUUACAAAUAAGAAAAAAGAAAAAGAGAAGCCAUUUUAUAGCACUUACUAGAAUCAUUCAGUAAAUUAAAUAUGCAGUCUACAUACUUAUUUCUGAUACUAGGAGAAAUGUACUUUGAGGUUUGCCUUACUUAUUCUCUCAAGCGUCAGCAGAAAAUAAUUACAAUAAUUACUUUUGAAUGCUGAAGCGUUGUGUAUGAUGUGAAAGCAGGUUUAAAACAUACUGCUCUACAAUAAAAAGGAGUUGACACUAUUUUUAAAAUGCA